rnacentral:lncRNA from 1 species
GCCACAUACUAAAGUUGUCAUAAGAGAAAUCAAAAGUCAGCAGCUCCUGUGAUCUGUAUGAUAGGCGGUGAUUAACUGGAACAGAUGCCUUCACAAAGCCUGCAAGGGACUCUUACUGUGCUGAGCAUGAAGGGAAAAAACCAAGAAUCAGGUAACAGUCAACUAAAGUGAUAUUUUGCAGCAAACCCUUGCAAGAGCACUGCCUGUGGAGGAAGCUUCCCCUCGAACCGUGAAAGGUUGGAGACCUACAGGAUUAAAUUCCAGGACUCAGGAUGAAUUCUCUCUAAGCAUGCACUAUCCAGCACCUACCUUGCAAAAGUGGCAUGAUUGCAAAAUACAUGAAAGAAAAUAUAAAUAGCUGAUAACCUGGUGAUUUCACUGGCUGGAGAGAAACAUAUAAAUCCUUCUGAGUGAGACUCAGUAAGUAAAAGAUUACCC